GCUCGCCGCCGCCUCCGCUGCCGCCUUGAUAUAGUGCGGCGCGGGCGGCGCGGCCGCACUUGGCGAGCGGCGCUCGCGGCUGGGGCAGGCGGGCGUCGAAGCGGGUUGCCCGGCGCUCGGCCACCGCCAACUUGGGAAGUGUCCGCCCGGGCGAGCUCCCACCAUGAGCCGCCUCCUGCCUCUCUGCCUGCUCGGAUUGCUCCUGGGCGGCGGGCAAGGUUUCUUCACGCAGAGGAGGGGAUGACAGAACAAUUGGAGAGAAAAGUGGGUGAAUAUGAAACCUGUUAAGAUUUACAGUGGUGUUCCAUAAUCUGUCUCUGAAACAAGCAGGCAAGGGUUUCAUGAUGAUCUGAAGGGGAGAGAAAUUGAGUAGGUUUAUAGUAGUUUGGUAAGUUGAGUAAGCAUUUUCUGC
rnacentral:lncRNA from 1 species